rnacentral:rRNA from 14 species
AAAGCUACUAAGAGUAUACGGUGGAUGCCUUGGCACUUGGAGGCGAUGAAGGACGUAGGUAACUGCGAAAAGCUUCGGGGAGCUGUUACACAAGCUAUAAUCCGAAGAUCUCCGAAUGGGAAAACCCGCCUCAUUGAAGAUGAGGCGCUGUACGCUGAAUACAUAGGCGUUACAGGGCAAACUCAGGGAACUGAAACAUCUAAGUACCUGAAGGAAAAGAAAACAACAGUGAUUCCCUAAGUAGCGGCGAGCGAACGGGGAUCAGCCUAAACCUUGAUUGUGUAAGCUGGCAGGCGUUGCAGUCAGGGGGUCGUGGGACGCUCAGGGUCAGCUGCUAAUGACCAUGCGGACUCGUGUUGUGAAGCUGAAUGGGCUGGGAAGCCCAUCCAAAGAGGGUGAUAGACCCGUAAGCGAAUCACAGCAUGGACGUAGAGAUGUUCCCGAGUACCGCGGGACACGGGAAACCCUGUGGGAAUCUGGGAGGACCACCUCCUAAGGCUAAAUACUACCAAGUGACCGAUAGUGUACCAGUACCGUGAGGGAAAGGUGAAAAGUACCCCAAAAGGGGAGUGAAAUAGACCCUGAAACCGUAUACUUACAAGCAGUCAGAGCACUAUGUUUCAUGUGUGAUGGCGUGCCUUUUGCAUAAUGAGCCUGCGAGUUACCUUCUGCAGCAAGGUUAAGUCGGUAGACGAAGCCGAAGCGAAAGCGAGUCUGAAUAGGGCGUUUGUCAGUGUUUAUAGACCCGAACCCGGGUGAUCUA